rnacentral:rRNA from 1 species
UACAGAGGGGGCAAGCGUUGUCCGGAAUCAUUGGGCGUAAAGCGCGCGUAGGUGGCCUCGUAAGUCCGCUGUGAAAGUCAAAGGCUCAACCUUUGAAAGCCGGUGGAUACUGUGAGGCUAGAGUACGGAAGAGGCGAGUGGAAUUCCUGGUGUAGCGGUGGAAUGCGCAGAUAUCAGGAGGAACACCAAUGGCGAAGGCAGCUCGCUGGGACGGUACUGACGCUGAGACGCGAAAGCGUGGGGAGCAAACAGG